CUACUACCGAUUGAAUGGUUUAGUGAGGACUCCUGAUUGGCGCCGCCGCUCCGGCAACGGAGCAGCGGACUGCCGAAAAGUUGUUCAAACUUGAUCAUUUAGAGGAAGUAAAAGUCGUAACAAGGUUUCCGUAGGUGAACCUGCAGAAGGAUCAACAUCGGAAGAGCACACGUCAGUACACCAGUCUCGCGGCCUUUUCUCGUACGUUGUCUUCUGCUUGAACAAAAACAUCACGGUCAGUCUAUUGUUAAAUCUCUGAGCUUCACUCCUACACUUC
rnacentral:misc_RNA from 1 species